CACUCAACUGAAACGCGCGAAUUCCCUCGUUCUCUCUUCUGUUCAACAGAUCGGCGACCGUCGCCGACGCCGCUACCAGUUCCGUCCUCAUCAACACCACUAAAUCAAAACCUAACAAACUACAGUUACACUCAUGGCAAUGGAAUCACCCUAUAGGCGAAGAAUCUGUGGAAUCGCCCUCAGUCACAAAGAACCCUAGCCUAAUCAACAAUCAAAUAAACACUCCUCACUGCAAAUUAACACCUAAUGCCAUGUGGUUUUUGAUCCUUCACCUAAAUGCUAGGUAACUGUGUGCUCAGAACAAGAAAGCGAAAAUAAACGGUAAACGAUAUACCGGAGAAGAUGAUCGGAGAAGUUUUCCGGUUGGUUUAAGUGGAAUUGUUCUUAAAGUGAAGGAUGACCUGCUGAGCAGGUUUUGAUGAUUAGUGCAAUGGGACCAAAUAAAGUUGUUUUAGUGAAAUGGUGGAGCAAAGUGUUAAUGGCCGUAGCAGGUUUUGAAUCCAUUGGAUCCAAUGGCUUGUGAGGUGCUGGAUUGUGUGAAUCAAGGUUUCAAAGUGCAUAACUUCUCUUUGCCCUCACCUGUUUUCCUCCUGUUCUAACUCAAGGUUUGGCCAUGGUAAAAUGUGGUGCAACCUUGGACAUCACUUGGCUCCAAAGUGUGCCCUGUUAUGACCCUUCUCAAUGCAACAUGAGAGCGUGGAAUGCUGGCUGCAAGAUUUGCUCUCAAUUCCAAACAAACCUACUGUGUUCACAACUCAAGGCAAUGGUGCAACAGUUAGCACCUCAUCCCAUUAUCUCAUUGCACAAGUGGUUCAUACUCCUGCAGGUAUGGUUGACAUACCCUAAGUCUCCAUUUCACUAUUGCAUUUCUGUGUUUUCUCUUGACUUGCUCCAGUUGACAGGAAUUCCACCAUGACUACUAACUUGGUUUGGUGUUAAGCAGCAGUACUGCAGGAAGGAUGCUUACAAGAACCAACUGAUUUUUUGAUGAAUGUGGUCAAAUGAAAUUGGAUUGGUAACAUGUUGCAGGUGGUAUUUCAAUACGCUCAUCAUGGCAAUUAAUGAUUUGCUUGUUGUUCAACAUGAUUAUGGUAACAAGGAGCUCAAGUACCAUCUUUUAUUCUUCUGCAUUUCCUACUUGUGAUGUCAAGUGGCAGCUGGUGUUAGGUUAAUUGGUUGGUCUCAUUGGUUGUCAACCAUUGCUAAUGACUUUUGAGUUGCAUUGACCAAGGUAUCUCUGCAGGUUAGGCAUCAUGCAAGACUUGUAAUUGGCUUUAUUGCAGGAUGAACUGGUUUUUCUUGAAGCUUCCUUGUAGGAUUAUGCAGGUCUAUUACUUGCUAUGCCUGAUGUUAUGGUGUUGGUUUUGGUUUGCCAUGUCUGGGACUGUUUCAUGGAUGCACAAGGAUGGUUUUUCUCACAGCAGGUUUUGGUCUUGGUGUAUAACUGGUUUUGGUGCAGGAUUGGUCUUGGCGCAGGCUGCAGGUACCAAUGGUGUCUAACCCAAAUGCAAACACACUUGACCACCUCUCUCACAUGUUGGUUUGAUAGAGAUGAGCCUCAAGCUUGCAGUUGGUUUUCUAACUGCAUGAUGCAAGAUCAUGAUGAAUUACUGCAGGUAAUGCCAUGUUUGGUUGGUUCCCUCACUGGUAGGAUUGGCUGCAGAUACCAAGUGAUGGUCGUGCUGCAAUGACUGAUGCACAACCAUGUUCACUUGUAACUUGACAUACUCCAUGUGCUGUAGGUGAUGUCCAGGUUAGCUGGAAUUUUCAAGGGCCUGAAUGGUAUUGUUCUGGCAGAUGGUUACCAAUGGAUAUUCCAUUACACACCCUGAUGUUGUUUGCAGGUUCAUCAACCUUAGAUUUGGUGUCAUUAUCAUUCCUACAGUUGGAUUCAAGUGAACCUUGGCUCAGGUAAAGCAACUAGGUUUGUCAACACAAGGUCACACCUUCCUGAUAACUCUGGUUUAACAUGGUGACAGUCAUUUUUGUAAGUUGUCUUUCUUGGUUAUGUAGCACAAAUACAGUUUUCUUCAUGAGGUAUCAUGAUGUAGUCUUGUUUGGCACAAUGAACAGCCUAUGGCAGACCUUGCAAACUGUAGGUUGCAGCAAGUGCAUGUAUACCAACUUUAUUUGUUACAUGUUAUGUGGUAUUGGAUUAUGCUCACACUGAUUUUGCUGCAGGAAAAUCCAAUGAUCAUGGUUUGGCUUCAACCUUCACAUGCGGCUAACUGGUUUUUUUGGUUGGGUUAUUUGCAGGCUGAUGGUGUGUUGAUUCAAUGUCAUUCCAUGUUGAGCUUGUGGCAGUAGUAUGGUAACAGAUCUGGCACAGUGCAGGUACCAGCCAUUUUGUAAUGGAUAUGGAUGACCAUUGUUGUUGUGUUUUGCAGCAGGUCAUGAGGGGUUGCAAGGUUACAGUCAAGUCCACAAGCCUGAUGCUUAAAGCUGAGGCAAGAUCUCAUGGCAUGUGGUGUGAAGGCAAAUCUCAUGGUUCUUAAUCAACAUCUCAUGGUUCAUAAGGAACAUGGAUAGUUGUGGCAUGGCAAAAACAUGGUGGUGGAGGAUAGCUUGCAAAUGAAGCAUUCAUGAUGGAAGAAAACAUGAGUAAUGGAGUGAUGGAUUAAGGUUUAGGAUGGAAGAUUUAGGACUUUAGGAUGUAAAGAGGUUGAGUUGACUUUGGUCAAAGUUGACCAAAAAGUCAACUGUUGACCAAAGUCAACAAAUGGUCAAAAAUGGCAUUUCUUUGUAUUUUCUUUAUGACUUCUUUGUAAAUGGAUAUUCGAUGGACAAUUAUGGGUGAAAUUAGGGUUU